rnacentral:lncRNA from 9 species
GGAAUCAUUAAGUAAAAUACAGUAUAUCCAUACAGUUGGAUUUUAUACAUUUAAGUGGAAAUAAUAACAAAUUUUACCCAAAUAUUUAGCAAAACUGUUUACCUGAGAGAACGAAAAUAUUAAAUUCUGUGUGCAGGAUGAUGUGGAAAAGGAUGCUCAGAAGGAAAUGUACCAAAAUAUAAUGGGUAUAUUUUACUUUCUUCUUGGUAGGUUUUGCAUUUUCUAAGUGUUUUACAGUUUUUAGGAGUUAUCUUCUACCCAGUUUUAUUUCCUUCUUAUUUUUUCCACCAUCGAAUUAAGUAUUUACUUGUUUAGUUCAGCUGAAAUUUUUUCAAGAAGGCCAUGAGCCUCCCCCGCAGUUUUGAAAAGUUGUAAACAGAUAACCACAGGAUGUUCAAACUAGAAGAGGUUUUUGGAAAGCAACUACUUAACCUUCUGCGGCGAUGGAAACUGAAACCAAAACUGUUUACAUCUGUUCCCAGGGCCAGCAGCAGGACUGGGACAGCAGGAUCUCCAGAAUGUUCGCCCCAAGUGCUUCGUCUUGCGCGUUAGCCAUUCAACAUGCACAUAUAGGAACCUUUAACCCCGUAGAGCAAGUGCUAUUGAAACAGAUGUAAAAAGAGGGCAGAGUCUCCAGGAUGUCAAGGGGGAAGCGUGGAAAAGUGAAAAGAGGCAAAGGGGAAAGGAGAGAGUUUUCCAAGCAAAGGAAACCUCAUGUGCAAAGAUCUGCUGGCUUGAAGGAAAUGAAAGAACAAUGUGGCUCAACCCCACCUCCUUCCAGAAAAGACUGGAAGGAGCUCACAAGGAUAUAAAAGCCAGAACAGGAAGGCAUGAAUCAAAGAAAGGAACUUAAGAAGGAAAGAAAACAAGGAUGGAGAUUUCCAAUGGAGCCAAGAGUAAGACGUUAAACAGUGUGAUCCAUAAUGAUUGUGUACACUUGUUGCAACGGAGCCAGGGAUUCGAGGCUAAACUUUCUAGGAAUCAACCCUGAAAGGAAAAGCUGGUGCCUCUCCAGCCAAGGCUUCCUCAGGGAAAGUGCAACCAUUGGACCAGAGAGACAUAUAACCUCUAACUAAACAGGUCAGGCUACUACUCUCCACCGAUGGGCAGCCUGGAAAGCACCCCCAUGACGGAAUGCCAUGUCCAUCACCCCAAAGCACCUGGUAUGAAAGUAGUUCAGCCAGUAACCAACAAUAUCACCCACGUAACAGCAUCUAGGAGCCCCAUUCUUGGUCCCUGUGACUUAAUCCCAGGGAAGGUGUUAAAAUAGCCCUCCCUCCAAAAGACUGAAGAACUGCUUAUCCUUCAAACAACUGUCCCUGGAAUAGCCUCUUGCUGCCAAGUUUUUAGAGUAAAUUAGUAAUAAUUUGCAAACUGCACUUUCUUACAAAUAGUUAGAAUUCAGCUUGUCUAUACUGUUGAUUAAAUAUAGACCCUCGUGCCUUAACAUACAACCAGACUGAGGGCAGGGUGUACCCGGAUGAAAAAGCCAUCUCUUUUCUUCCCUCCUUCAAGUUCUACCUAAAUCCUGUUCUGUCUUUGUAAGCUUUGUAUAUUUCCAAACCCCAAAUUAUUCCCUAAUCUCUCAGCAUGUUUGGUCUUUUAAAGGCAUUUAUUGCAUUCGAUCUGGUGCUGGGCCCCUUCAGAGUUUACCUCCCCGGAUGCGACCAGCAUGAUUCCAUCCUCACACUCAGGGUCAAUAAAAAUCUCACCUAGUGAAAACAACACCUCCUGAAUCUCAGGGUUCUGUUGGAACAGAACCUGUUCUUCACAUCAGUCCCCUUUUCUGAGUGUGUGGAUUUGGCCAUUUACUCAGAGGAUGUAUGUGGUGGCCUUUGAUUUCUUCAUGCAACAGUUUGUGUUGAAUCUUGAGCUUCUUUGGUCUGCGUGAGACCUUCUGUGACCUCUCCAUCUACACACUGAGGUCAUGGGUAAAGGUCACAUCCUUUGAGGAAACAUAAGAACAGAUGGGACGAGGAACUGGAAAAAAAUGUAAUGCAGGAAACAGCCUUGACCUCUGGCCCUGACGAACAGACUGGAUUAGAGACGCUUGUAAGACAACCACGCCUGAUGUUGUCUUAACACACAAGGCUAACAUUCAUUGAGCCCUUGACAUGCUGUAAGAAUUGUGCUAGGCCUCUUUAAAGAUUUUAGUAGGCGUGAGUUACACCGUUGAACCAUCACAAUAAUUUGUGCACUGUGACCAUUUUUUUGGAGGUGGACACUAAGACUCAGAGGAGUUAAGUAAACCACUCAAGGUAGCAUAGUUAGUAAUUUGCAGAAAAGGAUUUGACCUCAACUCCAUCUGACUUCACAGCCCAAGCCUUUUCCAGCUGAGAGGUGGUAAAAUCCCAGUUUUGCCCUUUAGGAGAGUCGGACCCUGUCACUUAACCCUUUAGUCACUUAAGCCUCAGUUUCCCCAUCUAAAAAGUCAGAUGUAAUAUAGGACAUACCUUAUAGGAUCGUUUUGAGGACAAGAAUGAUUAUUUUAAACAAUUAAGUUUUGGGAAGUUUCCUAUACAGCAAUAGCUAACUGAAACAAAAAUUAGUAUAUAUUUGCUGU